CCUACGGGAGGCAGCAGUGGGGAAUCUUGGACAAUGGGCGAAAGCCUGAUCCAGCGACGCCGCGUGGGGGAUGAAGCCCUUCGGGGUGUAAACCCCUGUUGCGAGGGAGGAAUAAGGCCUGGAGGAAAUGCCAGGCCGAUGACUGUACCUCGCGAGGAAGCCCCGGCUAACUACGUGCCAGCAGCCGCGGUAAUACGUAGGGGGCGAGCGUUACCCGGAUUCACUGGGCGUAAAGCGGGUGUAGGCGGCUCGGUAAGUCGGGUGUGAAAUCCCACAGCUCAACUGUGGAAUUGCGCCCGAAACUGCUGAGCUUGGGGCCGGUAGAGGGAGACGGAACUGCCGGUGUAGGGGUGAAAUCCGUAGAUAUCGGCAGGAACGCCGGUGGGGAAGCCGGUCUCCUGGGCCGCGCCCGACGCGGAGACCCGAAAGCUAGGGGAGCAAACC
rnacentral:rRNA from 1 species